rnacentral:misc_RNA from 1 species
AGAGUAAAGGACAGACAGCGCCCCGUAGGAGCUUGCUCCCGCGGUGGGCUACCCUGCUUCGGCAGGGCUUAGAGUCGUCGGGCCUCUCGGAGAAGCCUGGUCCUGACCUCCACCCUUGAAUAAAUUACCUCUGUUGCUUUGGCGGGCCGCCUUGUGCCAGCGGCUUCGGCUGUUGAGUGCCCGCCAGAGGACCACAACUCUUGUUUUUAGUGAUGUCUGAGUACUAUAUAAUAGUUAAAACUUUCAACAACGGAUCUCUUGGUUCU